rnacentral:rRNA from 1 species
GCGCGUAGGCGGUUUUUUAAGUCUGAUGUGAAAGCCCACGGCUCAACCGUGGAGGGUCAUUGGAAACUGGAAAACUUGAGUGCAGAAGAGGAAAGUGGAAUUCCAUGUGUAGCGGUGAAAUGCGCAGAGAUAUGGAGGAACACCAGUGGCGAAGGCGACUUUCUGGUCUGUAACUGACGCUGAUGUGCGAAAGCGUGGGGAUCAAACAGGAUUAGAUA